GACGAACGCUGGCGGCGUGCCUAAUACAUGCAAGUCGAGCGGACUUGACAGAGCUUGCUCUGUUCAAGUUAGCGGCGGACGGGUGAGUAACACGUGGGCAACCUGCCCUGCAGAUUGGGAUAACUCCGGGAAACCGGGGCUAAUACCGAAUAACAUGGAAAACCUCAUGGUUUUCUUUUAAAAGGCGGCUUCGGCUGUCACUGCAGGAUGGGCCCGCGGCGCAUUAGCUAGUUGGUGAGGUAACGGCUCACCAAGGCGACGAUGCGUAGCCGACCUGAGAGGGUGAUCGGCCACACUGGGACUGUGACACGGCCCAGACUCCUACGGGAGGCAGCAGUAGGGAAUCUUCCGCAAUGGACGAAAGUCUGACGGAGCAACGCCGCGUGAGUGAAGAAGGUCUUCGGAUCGUAAAACUCUGUUGUUAGGGAAGAACAAGUAUCGGAGUAACUGCCGGUACCUUGACGGUACCUGACCAGAAAGCCACGGCUAACUACGUGCCAGCCGCCGCCGUAAUAC
rnacentral:rRNA from 1 species